rnacentral:rRNA from 1 species
AAGACCAAGGGUUCCUGUCCAACGUUAAUCGGGGCAGGGUGAGUCGACCCCUAAGGCGAGGCCGAAAGGCGUAGUCGAUGGGAAACAGGUUAAUAUUCCUGUACUUGGUGUUACUGCGAAGGGGGGACGGAGAAGGCUAUGUUGGCCGGGCGACGGUUGUCCCGGUUUAAGCGUGUAGGCUGGUUUUCCAGGCAAAUCCGGAAAAUCAAGGCUGAGGCGUGAUGACGAGGCACUACGGUGCUGAAGCAACAAAUGCCCUGCUUCCAGGAAAAGCCUCUAAGCAUCAGGUAACAUCAAAUCGUACCCCAAACCGACACAGGUGGUCAGGUAGAGAAUACCAAGGCGCUUGAGAGAACUCGGGUGAAGGAACUAGGCAAAAUGGUGCCGUAACUUCGGGAGAAGGCACGCUGAUAUGUAGGUGAAGUCCCUUGCGGAUGGAGCUGAAAUCAGUCGAAGAUACCAGCUGGCUGCAACUGUUUAUUAAAAACACAGCACUGUGCAAACACGAAAGUGGACGUAUACGGUGUGACGCCUGCCCGGUGCCGGAAGGUUAAUUGAUGGGGUUAGCGGUAACGCGAAGCUCUUGAUCGAAGCCCCGGUAAACGGCGGCCGUAACUAUAACGGUCCUAAGGUAGCGAAAUUCCUUGUCGGGUAAGUUCCGACCUGCACGAAUGGCGUAAUGAUGGCCAGGCUGUCUCCACCCGAGACUCAGUGAAAUUGAACUCGCUGUGAAGAUGCAGUGUACCCGCGGCAAGACGGAAAGACCCCGUGAACCUUUACUAUAGCUUGACACUGAACAUUGAGCCUUGAUGUGUAGGAUAGGUGGGAGGCUUUGAAGUGUGGACGCCAGUCUGCAUGGAGCCGACCUUGAAAUACCACCCUUUAAUGUUUGAUGUUCUAACGUUGGCCCCUGAUCGGGGUUGCGGACAGUGUCUGGUGGGUAGUUUGACUGGGGCGGUCUCCUCCUAAAGAGUAACGGAGGAGCACGAAGGUUGGCUAAUCCUGGUCGGACAUCAGGAGGUUAGUGCAAUGGCAUAAGCCAGCUUGACUGCGAGCGUGACGGCGCGAGCAGGUGCGAAAGCAGGUCAUAGUGAUCCGGUGGUUCUGAAUGGAAGGGCCAUCGCUCAACGGAUAAAAGGUACUCCGGGGAUAACAGGCUGAUACCGCCCAAGAGUUCAUAUCGACGGCGGUGUUUGGCACCUCGAUGUCGGCUCAUCACAUCCUGGGGCUGAAGUAGGUCCCAAGGGUAUGGCUGUUCGCCAUUUAAAGUGGUACGCGAGCUGGGUUUAGAACGUCGUGAGACAGUUCGGUCCCUAUCUGCCGUGGGCGCUGGAGAACUGAGGGGGGCUGCUCCUAGUACGAGAGGACCGGAGUGGACGCAUCACUGGUGUUCGGGUUGUCAUGCCAAUGGCACUGCCCGGUAGCUAAAUGCGGAAGAGAUAAGUGCUGAAAGCAUCUAAGCACGAAACUUGCCCCGAGAUGAGUUCUCCCUGACUCCUUGAGAGUCCUGAAGGAACGUUGAAGACGACGACGUUGAUAGGCCGGGUGUGUAAGCGCAGCGAUGCGUUGAGCUAACCGGUACUAAUGAACCGUGAGGCUUAACCUUACAAC